AAAAGCAUUAACAAGCCUAGGAGUUUUCAUUAGUUUUCCUUCUAGACUUUCCUUCUAUCUAAUUCACUGAGGAAAUAUGAGACUUAAUAUAUUUGUCUUCAAUAAGUGCUUCAUAAAUAGGAAAUAGGAGGUACUGAAAAAUGCAAAUGCAAGAUUUCAAAAGAUGGAUCUAAAUGCUAAAAUACUAAAGAUUGUUUGUUUCUUCUUGGUUGAAGGUUUUUGAAGUAAAAAAGAAAAAAAAGAAAAAAAAAAAAAGAAAGAAGAAAAUUAAUAAAAAUGAAGACGAACAAGGAAGUCUGACCCCAAGCUGCUUCAGAGCUUCAGAACCAUUUAUAAUUCCAAUGUCUGAUGUGAGAGAUCUUAGCUGCUGAGCGUUUGGAAAGGGAUGUGUUACAGAAGCUGGUUCAGAGCUGCGCUGCCUGCCCUGUAUGUCUUCAUACAUACAAAAAAAAAAAAAAAAAAAAAAAAAAAAUCCUUGAUAUUGAGAAUUUUUCUGACCGGCGAAGGGACAUUUUGUUUUGUAUCCCAUCAUGUACACAGCACAGUGUCUUCUGAGAACCUGCUGCUUGGGAUAGCUACUUUCUCUUGAUCCAGUGAGUGCCUUGAGGCUCAGCUGGAACUUUGAUACCAAUUUAUUGGAGCCUGAGAGUGAACAACAAAUUUACUGCUUAAUUAUUCCAAAAGCUUUAAGAUGCCCGUUUAAGUGGAAUCUAUCAUGGAAAAUUGUACUAGAGCCCUUUUUUGGCAAGAUUUUUCAAGAACCUUCUUCUUUGGAUCUUGAAGAUCCAUGGCAAAGUGGGUGAAGUGCCCAAAUGGAAUCUUCCUGCCAGGUGUGUGAAGGGGUGGAAAAAGCCUCUGUUGAAUUUCCAGAUCUUGACUAUGUUCCCUCAAGAGCUUCUGAGAAAGCCUCACUGAGAAAAUGUAUUUGCUUGGGACAGAUGUGUGUAGACCUCCCCAAUUCUGAGGAACAAAUCUUACUACGGCCUCAGACUGUCAUGCAGCCAGCCAGGUAUGUACCAGCAGCAUCCAGUCCCUGCCAUUCAGAAAGCUGAAAAGAGAGUUUAUAGUGUCAUUAAGAAAUUUGUAUAUAUGGUCUUUGAUGAUACUUGCGCAGAUGUUUGUGAGGAUCUGCUAUACUUUUCCACACAGAGAUGGAAAAUGUCUUAUGUAUUCUGAUAUUAUUGUAAUGACAGCUUGCUUGGUUUACCUUUGUAUAAUGAAUAUUUAAACAGUAUUUAGUCUAUUAGCUGUCAGAUGUGCCGCAACUCAUAACUUUGUAAAUCUUACUUUAGCUUGUAGUAAUACACACUUGAGUGCUGGCACAACACCUUUACGGUUUGACAUAUGCAGAUAUUUGUACCUGGAGGUACUACAGCCCUGCAAAGUAUCAGAGUUGUUUUAUGACACUGAUAGUGAUGAACACUAAAACCUGUUGGAUGUAGCAUUCAGUUGUCUUUGCAAGUUUGAAAUUUCAAUUAGAUCAAGCAGGAGACUGUUAGAAUUAAAGAAAAAUAGGGACUGCAGAAAGGGAACUGGAAUGAUUGAUUUCUAUUUGUUGUUUUUUUCCAUUCUUUCAUGUCUUCUGGCCUAUUCUGUUCUGCAUCUGCUGCCCAGCAUGCAUUUGCCUCCAUGUGCCUUGUUAUAACAUAGUUUUUCUCCAUGAUGCUCAAGAGUCAUCGCUGUUGAGAAUAAUCAAUAGGAGAACCUAUCUUGUUUGGUGUCUAUUUCCUUGAGCUUUUCUUGUAAGCAACCUUGUUUAUAUUAGGGUGAAUUAAAAUGCAAUAAGUUAAAAAGAUCUUCACCUUCCCUUGAGCUUACAUUCUACAGGAGUCCAUACAUGAUCAAUUUCUAGCAUGCUGUUUUCCUAGCAAAUUUUCUUUCAUACCUGACUAUAUGACUCCUAGCAGAAACUAUGCUGAAGUUUCCGCAUUUUCUACUUCCUUAAGAGAGGUGGUGGUACAAGACAUCUGUAUUGGGCUAUUUUUCUUCAUAGCAGUCAAUAUGGUGCUUUGUUUUGGAUUUUUGACCAAAACAGUAUUGAUCACACACCAGUGCUUUAGUUAGUGCUGACCAAUGCUUUAACAGUGCCAAGACUUUCUCACUCAGCCCCCUCUCCCCAGUGAGUAUCUAGGAAGGCACAAGAAGCUGGCAGAGGACAUAGCUUUGAGCAGCUGGUUGGGGCUACCAGGGCACACCACAACAUCUUGUCUAGAUUUAGGAAUGCUGAUCCAAGGAGUUGGGGCAAUAUGUAAGUGUAUUAAAAUGAAGAAAAGCAAAAGGGUUUGCAAAUAAGCUAAGGAGUCUUUUUAUGUAUUUCUCCUCCAAAUGGAGAUGAAAGCAGCUAUGGCUGCUGUGGGACUGCCUUAAAACAUCCCUUGGCAAAUUGCAGGCCAAUUCAGUAGCCAUAUGGGAACCCUGUUUUGCCACCCUAUACUGCUUUGUACCUUUCUUGUCUCUGAAUGAGACUUUAAAGUUUGGCUGUGUUCUGAAAAUAAAGUAGGAAGGCUUUGAAGUUUCCAUGUCUGUUGUUUCUCAAAGAAAUGUGCUCAGUUUAGAAGUAAAAUAAGGCUUCCUUUCCUGCUGCUUUUUAGAAUGUUCAAGUGGAACUUUUUCUUUGGCUUUUACCUGUUACUAAGGCAUACUGCCCUAGAUUUAGACCCUUAAAAGCUAAAGCUGAACGGGAUUUGUGGCCUUUUUUGCUUUGUUUUUUCUUUCCAUCUAACUUCACCAAACAUUUGUUUGCUAAAACUUUAAAGCAGGUGUGGGGAUUAGCAAUUCUGGUGUUUUAGCUGGCUGAGAUAAAACCAUUGGCUGCUCAGUGUUGAGUUUUUCUCCUGUGUAAAGCAAACAAAAAAAGCCAAACUGAAUUAAAAACAAAGAACAUCAUAUUGUUAUUAAUACACUGGAGAUUUAAAAAGAAUUCAAUAAACUUUUUGUGUAAUAGUGACACUGGAGUGGUACACCAGUAUCACUCCAGUGUGUGAGUAGCUGUGUUGAUUUAGAUUUACUUCCCUUAGCUGUAUCUGCUCUGAAAAAGCCAGCGUUGGCCUUUUUCUGUGCUGACAUCAGUAAGCCUAACAGUCACCACAUAAGGAUAGGUACAUCUGAAGCGAGGUCUGUGUGCACAUAGAAUCUAUUCACCUUGGAAUCGUUAAUGAAUUUAUUCGCUGUUUUGCAAGGUUGAUAAAAGGUUAUGGGUUUUUAAUUUCCUGGUGGUGAAACUGAGGCAUAGACAGUACAAGAUAUUGUGUAAUCUGAGACUUCUGGAAUUUCUGUUCUUACUUUUCCUUAACUUCAUGUUCCAGAAGGCCUGAAAUGAGCACUGUGUAUAUACGCUGCCUGCAUGUGCGUCGUGUGUAUGUCUCUAUGCACUCACAGUAAAAUCUGUAUUGAGAGGAGAAGGAAAAAAAAUUUUAGCAAAGCUACUUUUUGGAAAUCCUGUGUGACCUGAGACUUAUUUUGUCACUAAUUCAUUCACUGUUUCAUUUUAAUUCUUCCUCCCACUGAAGGCAGGAGUUUUAUGCUGCCAAAUGACACAACUGGAAGUUCCAGCAUGUGUCACCAGGGUGAAAUGGUGGACAGAGCCUGCGUGCCUGCUCUGUGCAGGAAUCAAUCACCUAAAGCACCUGUGAGGUGAAUGGCUCACUAGAAAAUUAAGCACUUCUGUCAUGCUGGGUAUUGUGAAUCAGGUGAGAGUCAAUUGCUAAGUAGAUCUGGGACCAACUGUACUUCCCUGGGACUAAGGGCCUGCUUAUAGUUAGGCCAGAUGCUGGGUCUUAGCUAUAGCUGUCUUCAUGCUCAUAAACCAGUUUCACUGUACUCCUAUCCCUUCAGUUCCAUUCACUCCCAUAUCAAAUUUUUCAUUGUCAGCAUUGAGCUUUUCUCCCAGGUUUUCCUAAAAAGAACAUGCAUUCAUUAACUUUAAUAAUGAAUGAAUCUGCCCUAAUGGUCCUGUUGUGACCAGUGUAUUCAUGUUUGCUUCAAGCAAUCUCAGUUCUAUUUAAAUUAUUAUUUGUCUGGUAGUUACUGUCUCUGUCUCCUUACUUUGUUCUUUCCUCAUUUUGCUGAUUUUAGAUUUUGAAGAGAGGUUUGCAAUUUCAUCAGAUGAAGUUCUUCAACUCCUUGAUGAUUUGCAUUUUCUCUUUUAUGCUAUGAAGGUAAACAAGAAAACUUCAUACUUUGUAUUACAGCAAAAUUGUCCAAUAGUUCACAGCAAGGAGUAUCCAUCACUUCUAUUUACAAAGUUAGGCCUCUAUCACUUUGUUAGGGGGCAAUAAGAAUGGACAGAUAGCAGGAAGAUCUCAGAAGUCUGUCCUCAAAAUCAAAGUCUAACUGACAUGAAAGAAUGUCUCCUACACUUUGUUGAUAUUUUAAUCCUUAAAAAACCCACCAACAAACAGCAAAAGACCCCAUGCAGACAUCUUACCAUCCCCCAAAACAUUAUACACUGGUUGCACGAGGAAAUUUUGAUUCAAAGUUCAUUCUAAUGAGACUAGGCAGAUGUUUGAGAUUAUUGCAUAAACCGUGAAAAAUGGGGGAAAAAAAUAUCUAGAUUCCAUAAAUAAAUAAAUAACCUUAUCUGAUCUUCUGUUGGUGUGUGAAUUACAUAGAAAAUACUUUGUUAUACUGUGCUUCUAAGAGCUAAUGGUGUAGCCAGAGCAUUUUCUAGUCCUGGAUGCUACUUGGGGCAUUUUCAUGGCCAAGAAGAGAGAAAUUCUUCUUUCUUGUUUAAAGGUUCUGGUCAGAAUGGAUGAACACCUACAGGUACUGCCUUCAUGUGAUUUGUGUGGAGGAUGCUGAUGAUGUUUUCAGAGCCAUGCAGAUGUGGAGCACAGUCAAUUGUGAUAAUAGAGGGAAAUGUCUUUUAUGAUCUUUGUGUGUGUUUGAUGACAGUUUGAUCUGUGACCAUCUAUAACUAUCUGUUGUAGGAACAAAUAGAAAAAAAUUAGUUCAAAGAAGUUCUAAUGUUGUAACUGAAAAUUAAAAUGCAGUUGAGAGUAGGGUGAAGGCUACAUACUUUGAUUUCUAUGUUAAGUUUAUAUUGCUGUCAUUAGCAGUUGGCAACCAGUGAAAUACUGCAGGGAGUAAAAAAAACCUAUAUUUUAGGGAACAGACUGCAGAUUUGUAUCAGAGAUGGGGAUAACAUGGCUGGUUAUUAAGACCAGAAUUAUUUUAUCUUCCGUUAAGUAUUUGGCAUACCUGUCACUCAGCUACAUUCUACUGAGAUAGAUAAACCAAAAGCUUGAUCAGGUAUAGCUGAUAAUAACUAGUCAAUAAUGUUAUUUCUUGAUCAGUAUUGGUCUCCACUUUGUAUUGCUUUACGUAAUAGCAUUUGUUUCAUGUUCUUUAGAGCCUCUACACAGAGGCUUUCUUCAUCUGAUUCUCUAAGAACUUGCUCUUUAUUUUUUUUAUUCAGCCUUAAAUUUCUGUUUAAAUGUGUUUAGCAGUAGUGCUAUGUGGACUGUUUUCAAUUUGUGCAGGUUUUCACUCUGAUUAAUAAUUUCAUAUCUUUAUGUAGUGUAAUGCAUAUAGUAGAUGCCACCAUUUAACUUCCAGCUUUUUGGAAAUCAAGAAAUGUCACAGUGAGUGAUAUUUUUCCUGCUGUGGGUUUGUUUGGAAAUGUUUCUAGAUUUUUUUCCACGUCUUUUGUCGUUGAUGUUGUCAGUAUUUGCAUAUCAUGUUCAUUCUCUUUGCUUUUUCUGAUUCUUAAAGUAAUGGGAGUUCACCUGUAAUUGCUCUGCUACAAGCAACCACUCAAGUACCUGAUACAGUUUCUGCUGAAACACCUGUGGUGUGCAGUAUAAAACAAGUCCAGUUUAUAAGCUCAGAUGCCUGCUAAAUGAGAUUGCAAAGAGCUGCUAUGCACGAUACACUACACGCCAAAAUCCAUUUAGCUGUUCCUUAUUAGCAGCUCCAACUGAAAGAACAUGGAGUUCUGUUAAUCUUGCCUAAGUAACAUCUUGUUUCCCAAUCAAGUGCAAUCAGGAUGAUCUGAUCUAACUGUAUUAUCAGAAUGACUAUUUUGAUAUGCUUCACAAGUAGUUGAUUAAAUUUACUGGGUGUUGCUGUUGUUGGGCUGUUGUUUUUUUUGUGGGUUUUUUUUUCUGUUGUUUUUUUGAAUAUUCUGUAAGAACAGGGGUCUUUGUGUUUGGUUGGACGUGUCUGGGUUGUUGAGAUGUUCUUGUUUGUUUUGUUUUUACUGCAGAAUGAGUUUUGUAACAUUUAGUGGGCAUAGAAUUGUGUCACAAAUUUGUGAUGUCUAUUAAUACUUCAAAAUGUACAAAUUAUGGUUUCCUAGUAUUCAUUAAUUUUUCCUGGCUCCUGCUCCAUUGAGAAUAAUUGACUCCUUUUUAUUGUUUCCUUCAUCUGGAGUUACAGAAUUAAUCCAAUAUUACAGUUGUCUCAUCUGCACUUGUCUGUUCUGCUACUUUCCCACAUUACAAGUACUUGAAUGCACGAUGAUCUUGGUUUUAACCAGAGAACAAAAAGUUUCUGCUUUUCUUUGUGUUUUCUGACUUAUUUCAUUCAAUAUUCAUCUUAUUUUUUAUGACAGAAAACUUUACUGCUACUGUACAGCAGUCACAGAGAAGUGCACAGGCUUUUUCUUGAUUUAAAAUUUCCAGUUUUUCAGAAUAAUAUCCAUCUGCUCCCUUCUGACACUGGAGGACAGCUGGUGUCACAGAACAAAGAAGGCUGAGUCCCGGUAAGCAAAUUGCUUUGGACAGACGUCAGCAGGCUUCCCACUUGUUCAGAAUUUAGAAAGAAAAAGUCAUUUCUGUGAUGUAACUAUGGACCCAAGAGCAGUGUUUGUUGAACUAGGAGUUAUGGCCAGUUGUAGAAGGAUUCAUUUUAUCAGUAAAUUCAACACCUUCAUGAGAGAACAGGUGUAUUUAAGGCCUGGUUAAGAGGCUUCCAUAUUGUAGUUUGAAUACUUUUCCCCCCAUCCUGUCCCUGUUGUCAUUAAUAUCUGUAAAUCUUGAUAGAAGUUACAGAGCUGAUUAAUUGUGCUGGUCUGUAGUCUGUGGCGAUAAGUAACUCUGAUACUGGCCCAGCAAAUGAAAUGACAUUAUUUAGCCAGUACCAAGUACAUACGAUCAGUGCUUUCAGCUUUGAUACAAGAUGGUCACGCUUCAGCGCUAGUUAACCACAAGUAAGGGAGACGGAAGGGUGGUGGGGUCCAAUGCUCAGAAUUAUUUACACUGUGUGUGUCCGUACAUGCGCCCAUUAUAAUAAGCUUUUCAUUUAAAUGCUCAUGUCUUCUGGCUGUGUGUUAAUACUCAGAGUUAAGUCUUGGAGAUAGGAUGAUCUCUGAAUUUAACCACUGAAUGAAUAAUGUCAAAGUAGAUGCCAGGGAGCUGCAGAAAAUACUUGCUAUCUACUGAGACACAGUAUUUUUCUGAUAUAGAGUUAAUGCUACAUUUAAUUUUUUGUUCACAAACGGAGUGGCUGAGGUGCUUCAGACAAGAUGAAUAGUAAAACAUGGGACCAAGACUUUGUGCAGGAAUUCAACGUCUACAUAAGCUCUGAAGGAAAACUACUGGGCGAACUUUCUGGAAUUCUGACCUAGGUAGUUGUUAUAUUUCUAACUGUGCCUGUGUGGCUCCCUCUGUCUUUUCCCUACCUUGCCAUUACAGUGGGGACAGCUGGAGUGCAGGACAAGUACCCUUCUAACCAUUGCUCUCAUGGUUUUGAAUUCCUCACGUAACUUUUCUUUGGAGUGAGGCUGUCCUGUGAAGAAUAUCCUACCUUGUCUUGACUUUUCACUAACAUUUUCAUUUGUCCUCUGAAGCCCAAUUUAACUUUUAUAGCAAACGCCACCUCUGCUGUACCUCCUGCUCUGAGGUCUUCAUGGUUGAUAAUACAUCCAGGAGUCUCAGCAAAUUUGAAAGAAUAUGAAGGUUUGUUUCUUGUUUUUCCCAUUUGAACUCUUACUUAAACACUUUGCAGGCUCUACUGACACCAAGUGCCCCCUCCUGCCCCUGUUUUGUCAUGCAAAGGGUGUAUUUAAUCUCCCGCAUCCCAGGUGUGUUUUGAGGGCUUUUGCAAACUACUGCCAUCUUCCUGGGGAGAAAGAGUUGUAGGGAAAGACAUGCUAGACUGAGGGUGAAAGAAAAAGGAGGCUUUAAAAUAUUUUGUAUACUCUGACAAAGGAGAGAAACAACGACGAGAUAGAAUAAGCAGGAAAACUCUCCAGGGAUGUGACAGCUGAACUUUUGAAUGAGCUGUGAAGUGCUUUUCAGCUCUUCUGUGUGCUGGUAUUCAAGAUGGCAUCUCCUCAUGAAGGUGAGUACUCUCUCUGCCUUCCUGUGCCUAUCAGUGUUCACCCAGAAUACUGGAAGGUAUGAGAGGAAUGAGCAGUACUCUUAGCUUCCAUAAAUUAAGGCACUCGAGCUCAAUUGGCUCAGGUCUACUACUUCACAGUAGAGAAUGCUAUUUAUAUGCAAGCAUGCAAAAAGAAAAGAAAAGCCUGUCAGUCACUGACUGAGGAUCAGAGCCAAAUUCUAGAAUUCAAAUGCUAGGUCUCAAGGAUGCUUAGAAAAAUAUCACUGCGUUAAGGUUGUCUCAGCCUAUGGAGAAGUCCAGAAGUUCAGUGAAACUUUUUCCCCCCUCUGCCUUCUGAUAAAAGAAUUCAAUAAAAGAAUUCCCAUCUAUUUUGCAAAUAUUCUUCUUCUGCCAUUUUAGUCAAGAUCUUAGUAGUUUGUCUUGCAAUAUCUAAUAUGAUUUAUCCAGACAGGCUUUUUGUUUUUACUAGGAAAGGGACUUUUACUGAAUACAGACCUGGAUUCUGCUCUAUCAGUGUUUGUCUGAUGCCUUCAGGAGGUGAGCUUCUACACAUCAAUUCUGCAGAAGGGGUUAGAGGUCAGCUAAUACCAUUAUGGUUGAAAACAGCUUUAACUUGAAGAACAGCAACAGCUGGAGGUCAAGCAGCUAUCAUCCCUGAAAUAGUUGCCUCAUGGAUUCAAGGGAUACUUCAGAGCUUAGCACAGACCAAACAUUCAACUUAAAAAUCUGAAAUUGCGCAAGGUAACUUUGGAGGUUGGAACAUUAAUUAAAGCUGGUUUUGCCUAAGAUCAAAAUGUCUCUUGGUACUUAUGGCAUUAAGUGCCAUUGUUGAGAUAAUUAUUUGGAAGGAGAAUGAAGACUUCAUGAACAUUCAACAGAAGAAAACUGAAUCUAAAAUGAUAAACUAGAUAUGAAGAUGCAUCUUCAUACUGCAUUUUUGAUCCUUGCUUCCAACCUUUUUUUGUACCUAGGGCAAGAUAAAGCUCUCUUAUUUAUUUAUUUUUAAAAUGCAUUAUAGAUCAGCCUUCCAGUAUGAAAGUGCAGAAUUCUUACAGUGCCAGUGGAUCUUUGGAAUCAUAAAAUGGUUUUUAACUCCUGUCUCUUAUUCCUCAUUGGCUUUUCUCUCAGCUAUAACUUCUAGAAGACAAUACUGAAAGCACUUCUGGAAUUCUAAAGGAAAAUUAGUAGUCAUUACUUUUCAAAUACAAUGACAGGGCUUUAUAUACCUGUCCUAUUAUGUGAGGUGUCUAAGAUCUGUCCUCUUCAAAUCCGGACUGAUGACCCAGACAGCACAGAGAGCUGUUCAAAGCAGUCAACAUUCAAAGGUUGUAAUCUCUGAUAUUCUACUCAUAAUGUCAUAUUGUCAUAAUAUCAUUCAUCAUAAUGAAGUAAUGCAAAGACUGUAAGAAGCACUACACUGUAUUGGUUUUUGUCCACUUUCCCGAACAUAAAAUCUAUCCCGGUCUUGCAUAUAUCUUUGAAAGCUAAGGCACACUGUUUUGCAAAGAGAAAUAGUUAUAACAGAGUACGAGUAUACUUGGAAAAAGAAAUACUUCGCAUUUUGCUUCAGAGAGUACAAAAUAUGUGUUACCCAUUUCAUAAAUCUUUUGUCUACGUCUCCUUAAGUCACACUUGAAUAGCAUGGUUCUGAGAGAAAUGGAUAAGACCAAGUUUUGAUGCCUAAGGUGCUUCCAUUCUGGUGAUAGGUUGAAAUAAAAAAGCAUAGGGAAGAUAGCAAGAAAAUAAUAGAACCAUAAAUAAUAAAUGUAUUCUGCAAGUGUCAUAGGAAAGCAUCAGAAGCCACUUUAGUAAGCUAGAAAUGUGCAUGCAGAUGCAAAGCUGUGAGUGAAGCAAGAUGUAGUGAAGAAAUAGAUCUGGUGAGAGCUCAGACAGAAGGGGAAAAGUAAUAUUCUAUCAAUAAUGCAGAAAUAGGAUACAUGUUUUGUCUGAUAUAAUUGUGCCUCUUUGGUAUGACUGAAAGGUAGAAGCAGUAAUUAGUCAUGGCUUGAGACACGCUGGGUAAGCUGAGCAAUGGGAAGUAGCAGAAGAAAUUAUUUUCUCCAGAGAACAAAUGAUGCACAUUGGUCUAGGCAUACAGCCCUGCUUUUGCACUUUCUUUCCUUGUAAUGCAGCUGUUCCCAGCUAACAAAGAAACUCUGCAUGAUAAGCUCUAGUCAUAUCACUACUGUUGCUUUAUAUUUAAUGAGGCAAGUAUGAACUGUGAACUAGGGAGUAGAUUAAAGUUUCUCAAGCAGACAAGAGAACAUUUCAAACUCAGCCUAAGAAAGUGUUUGUGCUACUGGUGUCCAGUCCAGAAUUAGUACACUGAUAGAGAUUAAAUUGCAUUUUCUCUGCCUGUAAAAAAAACCCAUUUACUCCAUUAUAUUAUCUGAAGAUAAGCAGUGAUCCAGAUUGCUGCUGAGAAGAAAUAAGCAUUAUAGGCCGUAGCUGCAUCUACAGCCUGAACUUUGAAUCUAUCCCUUUUGUAACAAUGGAAAGCCACUGGGGUCUACGGAUGGAAAAAGUAUUGAUCCAGUAUCUUAAGGUAGUUACAGUGAUUUUGUGUUUGUGACCAUUUUACACUGCAGAUUUUAGAAAAGAUUAUGGAAAAAAGACAAACUCUUCAUGUAGUUUGCUAGAUGUAGAUUUCCAUUGUUUUGUCUAAGUAUUUCAUUUCCCUCAGUCAGGGUUUCUUGAGAUGGUUUUCUUCCUAAAUUCACUAUUAUUAUUGUCAGGGGCUGACUGCUUUGAUAGACAGUGAUAACUAAAUCUACAUAAUCUGGAGAGCCCCUGCAGGAAGCUGAAAGUUAUGGGACACAAAACUGCAAGAGAGACCCUGUUUUGAGGGAGAAACAGGUAAAGAACCUUCAUUUCAGAGACUGUAACUUAUUUUUUCUUCUGGGUGCUAACUUUGAAGAGAAGAUUUGUCUAAACUUUCAACAUUUUGUUCUUCUUCCCUUCAUUAUUUCCUUAAAAAUUUUUAAGAACUCCAUUGGGAUUAUAAUAGCUGAACCCUUUUUAGAUUAAUAGCUUUCGUUUAAACAAACUUCCCCCUUUUCAUUAAACUCACUUUGCUCUUGUUAAUUAAAACCAAUCUUUGGAGUAUAAUAGUGAUUACCACCUGAUUGUCUUCUCUGCAUACUGAACUGGGACACCAACUGUAGUUCAAAGAAUUAUAAAGAAUGUUAUGAUUUAACUACAGUUUAAAUGUGUGGAGAACAAUGUAAACCCAAUUUGCUAAACAUUUGGCAGUAACUUAGGAAAUAGACAGUAACUAAGAUGGUACGGACUCAUUUUUUUCAACUGUUGAGAUAUCAUGCUACAAAGAACUUGUCCUACUUUAGAAUUUGACUUUUCAUUCAAGUAGCCCUGAAGGAAAGUUUAUUCUGUUAAUACAUAUGACUUCUAUGCAAAUACAUUAAUUGCCUGUUAAGAAAUGAACUUUCUAGGCAAUAUUGUUCUGUGCAAAAACCAAACUGUACAAUCCUUAUCCCUGGUCAGAAAAAAAAAAAAAAAAAAAAAAA